rnacentral:sRNA from 1 species
UACUGUAUACCAAUGGAGCGAGGAAGUUUGCGUUGAUAGGAGUCGGGGCAAUCGGUUGCAGCCCGAACGAGCUAGCUCAAAACAGCAGAGACGGAAGAACGUGUGACGAAAGAAUCAACUCAGCGAACAGAAUCUUUAACAGCAAACUCAUAUCUAUAGUCGACGCUUUUAACCAGAACACACCAGAUGCAAAAUUCACUUACAUCAACGCUUAUGGCAUCUUCCAAGACAU